CUACAGAAUUCGACCCGCUCAAAUCUGGUGUAAACCCAUUUUUAGGAUCACUCCGUACAAAUUAGCAACCAAGUCAUUCACAUUUACACCAGAUCCAUUCUUUNNNAACAUUUGUACAAAAGAAAAAGCAGGACCCCCCUUCGCCAAAAGAGGGACCCCCCGCCGCACCUGAUUUUUCUUCCUCUCCCUCUAGGUCUCCGAAGAUCGAAAGAGGCAAAGCUCCUUUUGGCUUUUCCCACUGAGCCAUGUCCGAGUUAACCCGACCAGGAGCUGAACCAGGUUGAUUCAAUUCACAUUCGUUGUUUUUCAUUUUUUGUUCUGUAGAGAAAUCGAACAGGUCAAGGGGCUUCGAGAUUU
rnacentral:misc_RNA from 1 species